ensembl:lncRNA
UGCACAUUCAAACCUGCAGCUCAUUUUGUGAAUUUGCCUGUAUUCUGCCCCCUCUGAGACAUGGCUGAGGCUCCACCGACUCUCGAGAAAGAGUCCCCCCCCCCCUGACGCUCAUUGUGUUCCCCGCUCCGGACAAUGUACCGGAAAAAAGCGGAAAGACACACAAAAGCGAAUUGAUGGCAUUAGUAUGAAAGCAGGCAUGUGGCGGGGGAGUUGGUGGGACAAACAUGCAAAACAAAAGGCCUCCAGGAGUCCUGCACGAGCGUCCUCCACGGGGAGUCGCCACGCGGUCGGCGCCGGGCCCCGUAUCAAACCGGUCUGGAAGCGUGCCAAAGGCGGAGGAUUCCUCCCUCCACUGGGUGUCCAUCUUAACAAAAGGGUCAAUGCUCAAACUUAUGCAGGUUUGGGGAAGAAAUUACCAAGAAGAAGACGGUGACCUCAACCAUCUACCAGGAGUUCAGUUCAACAACCUCACGAACCUUCAGCGAUGUGUGUCUGACUCAUUAAACAGCUCAGUUUUUUCUUAUUUGUAUUUAAAAUAUUAAUAUAUUAUUUAAUAUGAACAGUAACAUCAACAUUGAUCAUUUAAGUAUAUUUAUUUGUUUUAUUUAUUGAAUAAGAAUACACUUUCAUAUUGAAUAAAAUGCC